GGGUAUGAACUCAAUUGUAGGUGCUAAGGUAUUGGAUCCUAAUUUGAGGAGUCCAGGGUGAAGUCCGAGGAGUUAGUGGCUAGUUAAAUAGUCCUAUAAACUUGGUGCCCUAUGCCUUAUGGUUGGGAGUCAUCGAUGAAUCCCCGCUACAUGGACCAUAUACUUGGAGAUACCUUUAGUAUUGCACUCCUACAAUAAGU
rnacentral:lncRNA from 1 species